GCCUACGGGGGGCAGCAGUAGGGAAUCUUCCACAAUGGGCGAAAGCCUGAUGGAGCAACGCCGCGUGGGUGAAGAAGGUCUUCGGAUCGUAAAACCCUGUUGUUAGAGAAGAAAGUGCGUGAGAGUAACUGUUCACGUUUCGACGGUAUCUAACCAGAAAGCCACGGCUAACUACGUGCCAGCAGCCGCGGUAAUACGUAGGUGGCAAGCGUUACCCGGAUUUAUUGGGCGUAAAGGGAACGCAGGCGGUCUUUUAAGUCUGAUGUGAAAGCCUUCGGCUUAACCGGGGUAGUGACUUGGAAACU
rnacentral:rRNA from 1 species